AUUAACUAAACUACAAGGUCAAUGACAGGGAGACAGGGAGACAGUUCUAAUCCCUUUAACUCCUCUACAAGGUCAAUGACAGGGAGACAGUUCUAAUCCCUUUAACUCCUCUACAAGGUCAAUGACAGGGAGACAGUUCUAAUCCCUUUAACUCCUCUACAAGGUCAAUGACAGGGAGACAGUUCUAAUCCCUUUAACUCCUCUACAAGGUCAAUGACAGGGAGACAGUUCUAAUCCCUUUAACUCCUCUACAAGGUCAAUGACAGGGAGACAGUUCUAAUCCAUUUAACUCCUCUACAAGGUCAAUGACAGGGAGACAGUUCUAAUCCCUUUAACUCCUCUACAAGGUCAAUGACAGGGAGACAGUUCUAAUCCCUUUAACUCCUCUACAAGGUCAAUGACAGGGAGACAGUUCUAAUCCAUUUAACUCCUCUACAAGGUCAAUGACAGGGAGACAGUUCUAAUCCAUUUAACUCCUCUACAAGGUCAAUGACAGGGAGACAGUUCUAAUCCCUUUAACUCCUCUACAAGGUCAAUGACAGGGAGACAGUUCUAAUCCCUUUAACUCUUCUACAAGGUCAAUGACAGGGAGACAGUUCUAUUCCCUUUAACUCCUCUACAAGGUCAAUGACAGGGAGACAGUUCUAAUCCAUUUAACUCCUCUACAAGGUCAAUGACAGGGAGACAGUUCUAAUCCCUUUAACUCCUCUACAAGGUCAAUGACAGGGAGACAGUUCUAAUCCAUUUAACUCCUCUACAAGGUCAAUGACAGGGAGACAGUUCUAAUCCCUUUAACUCCUCUACAAGGUCAAUGACAGGGAGACAGUUCUAAUCCCUUUAACUCCUCUACAAGGUCAAUGACAGGGAGACAGUUCUAAUCCCUUUAACUCCUCUACAAGGUCAAUGACAGGGAGACAGUUCUAAUCCCUUUAACUCCUCUACAAGGUCAAUGACAGGGAGACAGUUCUAAUCCCUUUAACUCCUCUACAAGGUCAAUGACAGGGAGACAGUUCUAAUCCCUUUAACUCCUCUACAAGGUCAAUGACAGGGAGACAGUUCUAAUCCCUUUAACUCCUCUACAAGGUCAAUGACAGGGAGACAGUUCUAAUCCCUUUAACUCCUCUACAAGGUCAAUGACAGGGAGACAGUUCUAAUCCCUUUAACUCCUCUACAAGGUCAAUGACAGGGAGACAGUUCUAAUCCCUUUAACUCCUCUACAAGGUCAAUGACAGGGAGACAGUUCUAAUCCCUUUAACUCCUCUACAAGGUCAAUGACAGGGAGACAGUUCUAAUCCCUUUAAC